UACGUAGGGGGCUAGCGUUGUCCGGAAUCAUUGGGCGUAAAGAGCGUGUAGGCGGUCCGGUAAGUCCGCUGUGAAAGUCGGGGGCUCAACCCUCGAAUGCCGGUGGAUACUGUCGGGCUAGAGUGCGGAAGAGGCGAGUGGAAUUCCUGGUGUAGCGGUGAAAUGCGCAGAUAUCAAGAGGAACACCUGCGGCGAAGGCGGGUUGCUGGGCUGACACUGACGCUGAAGCGCGAAAGCGUGGGGAGCGAACAGG
rnacentral:rRNA from 1 species